UAAUAAUAAAUAGAAAAAUAAAUAAAUAAUAAUAAUAAAUAAUAUAAUUGGAAGAAAAUAUUUGAGUAUUACCGCCAAAAAGGGGGCAAAGAGUUGCCUCUUUCGGGCGGAUGUUUUCCGGGUACGAAAUUCGAGACGGAUUUUCACCGAAGCGUCGGGAUAAAUCUGAACUCUAAAUUUCAAAACCCAUUAAGUCAAAUAGUCAUUAUUAGAAAAUAAUAUAUGUAAAAAGAUUUUGUUAAUUCAAAUAAAUAUUACUAAACAAAGUUAAAUUAAUCAUUUAAAAGUUAAUUAAUUAAUUAUUUAGAUAAGCUUUGUAAACAAGUAAAAAUUGACCAACAACAAACAUGGAUUUAAAUAACCAAAAAAUAAAGUAUAUAUAAAAAUAAUAAAUAAAUAAUAAUAAAUAAUAAAUAAAUAACCAAAAUUUUUUAAACAAUCAAUAAACGCGUGCAUAUAGAUACCAUCAUUUUACACUGUCAUUGCAUGCCACUCUUAUUUUGCAUAUGGCGCGGGAAUCCCGAUGAUGGGAUUUCCCCGAGGAGCUCGUAGAGACGAGUUCUUCCGGGGAUAUCUCUAGGUGAGGAGAAUUUCGAGACUUCACCAAAGCGUUGGGAUAGUCUUCGAAUAAUUUUCCAAUAAAAGAUUACCGACUCCAUCAUUUAAAAUAAACAAGUCACGACAUCAUUCUACGCUUGCAUCAUAUGCAUACGUAAGACCAAGUGAAAAACUCAGUCUGACAAUUCAAUAAAAAUUUAAUUAAUAAAAUAGGGAUUAAACUAAGAAAAGGCUAUAUUAAGAUAACUUAAGAUUAAAUGGUACCGUUCGUAGAACGGGCGUCACGGAGGUGCUAACCCUUCUCCGUGCGUAAUCGCACUCCCGAACCCAUCUCUAAAAAACGUGGACCAGUUCUCGUUCUUUCGACGGACCUAAAAUUAAUUUAGGGCUUCGUCGAUUAAGAAUCGAGUUAAUAGGUGACCAAUCACACCUAGAUAAAAAAGAUUGGUGGCGACUCCCACACCUUGCGAUUUUAAUUUUCGCCCCGCGUCUGGCGGACGGGUUCCCGGACCCGCACGUCACGACAGAUGGCGACUCCACUGGGGACUUCGAGAGUCAAGCCAUUAAUUAAUCAUAAGUUAUCUUUAGCCUUGAAUAAUUUGUUGUUUUCCCUAGCAUCAAUUUUGCAUAUUUUUGUUUAAUGCAUUUAUUUAUUUUGUUAUUAUUACUUCACUAUUUUAAUAAUUGCGGGAAAUUUAGGAUAAGGGGAAUGUGAAAUUAUUGGUCCAAGGUCGGUAUAUUCCUUCUCACACACUACACAUCUUGCAUUCAUGCAUAAGCCUUCCACCCGGGCUUUAUCCUUAAUUAGGAGGGAGUUAAGUAGCUACGCUCUCGUGAGGUGAUAACCUCCGCAUGGGCUAGUGAAGACUCCCACUCAAAUCGAACCUAGUCCGUUUGAAGCCUGUAAUGGGUGAGGACCGGGGUGCCUUACUAGUCCGUGUGGACGACAGUGAGGAGCGAUUUGGGAACCUUUAGCUCCAUUUUCAACCCAAACUCAGCAUGUAGAAUACCGAGAGU
rnacentral:lncRNA from 1 species